rnacentral:misc_RNA from 1 species
AAGUCGUAACAAGGUAACCGUAGGUGAACCUGCGGUUGGAUCAUUAUAAAAUGAUAGUUGUUGGUUAGUGGGGCUAUGCAUUAGCCUGGCCACCUUUCCAACGGCUAAACACCUUUGCGCACCAUAAUUGUAUUUGGGUUGGUCUUUUUAGUACCAACCCGCCUAUUAACUUCUAUUAUUUUGACUGACUUUUGUUUCUAUGAAUCAAAACAA